rfam:Pseudomonas sp. M30-35, complete genome.
CUGCGGUAUCGUGUUGAAUGCGAUGCCGCAGUUAUAGCCAGAAUCACAGCCCACAAAGCUGUGGUUCUAAUUUGAAAUAUUAUGACGACCAGCAGGGGCAUCUGGGCCGGAGCCCGGACUAUCUGCGGGAUCCGUGGUGGCUUUACCGAGGUCGCUGCAUCAAGACUUCGAAAGCCCACACGGUUUCUACGCCGGUGGUGUCCCCUAACCGAGGGUGACCA